UGGUGAUACAAUCAGUUUGGUGGAGACAAAUCAUUUGGUGCUUGAUUUGGAUACACGGAAAACUAAUUUCUUGUUUAUUAAGUUGAACGAUUUGCCUUCGUGGCCUAAUGGAUAAGGCAUCGGUCUCCUAAACCGGGGAUUGCGGGUUCGAGUCCCGCCGAAGGAUUUCUUUCAUCUACUUGAGUGGUGAUCAUGUUGACAAAAAUUGUGAAUAGCAACUUUGAAAUCAUAUGGAGCACUGGAAAGAUGUGAAUUAACUUGGGACCGCAACGCCAAAUAAACGGAAACAAAAGGAGAAAGAGAAAGACUGAAAU